AGGCAGCCUCCUUGCCCUCACCAUGGCAAACAGGGGGUGUUAAACUGCUCGCAAAUUAAAUAUUGCUUUUGCUCUUCAGACUUGCUGAGAUUAUUCCUUGAAGCUGGUCUAGUAAGCCUAAGUACAUU
rnacentral:snoRNA from 2 species